GCCCCUCUCACUCCCACCAAACAGACAGCUGUCACAUUCAUUGGCUGAUGCCGACCUUGAAAACCCUAAAUGACAUUGGCCCUGUAUAUUUAAAGAAGCGUCUCCACACCCAUCGUCCAGACCAGAUACUUAGGACCAGCUCCAAGGGCCUUCUGGUGGUUCCCUCAAGCAUUAAUACACUCAAGUGAGAUUCCGUUUUUCAGCUGCUGUUUUUAAUACUAGAAGCAGAAUUUCAAGUUACACUAAGUUACUAUGUAGGCUUAGGUUAUGAACUCAGGAAGAAAGGAAGUUGGGUCAUGUCAAAGUACAAACUGGAUAUGGUAGAGAAAGAUAAUUAUGUAUGAAGAGGGAGGCUGCACUUCGUGUAUCUCUACAGGUAGGGUUAUUCCUAAAAGUUGUAUGUCCAGAAACACUCCAGGGAUGUGAUUCAAUGAUUCCCUUUCAUCAUUAAAGAUGAAUGAAAAAUGAAGAGCAAACUUUAUCUAAGGAGAUAAAUUCAUUCCCAAGGCAGCUCUGUGUGUUUCAUUACUACUAUGGUGGAAUACAGUUAAGAAUCAGGCAACAACUUUAGUUUUUGUGGCCAGGUGUUCCUUUGUGUUCAGAUCAGGCCUCAGAACAAGAAUGUAGCAUUUGGGAAUGAAGAUGCAGCCCAGAAGCCCAGCACUGGAAGCCAAGAUAGAGAAGAUCUGCACGGCUACCAUGUAUUUCCCCUUUGUGCUCAGGUAGGUGGGCACAAAGGAGACCCAAACGCUGCAGAAGACCAGCAUGCUGAAGGUGAUCAGCUUGGCUUCAUUGAAGGCCCCAGGCAGCUUCCUAGCUAAGAAAGCCACUGUGAAGCAGAUGGCAGCCAGGAAGCCCAUGUAACCCAGGGCAGCAUAAAACAUGGCAAUAGACCCUUCAUUGCAUUGCAGGGUGAUCUCUCCAGCCUGGGAAUGCUUGUCAGAGUCUGGGAAUGGGGGAGAGAUGCCCAGCCAAAUGAUGCAAAGGACCAUUUGGACACUGGAGCAGGAAAUGACAAUGGAGUUGGCCAGACUUUUCCCUAACCAUCUCCUCACCCUGUUCCCUGGCUUUGUGGCCAGGAAGGCCAGCACCACCAUGAUGGUUUUGGACAGCAAAGAGGACACAGCUACCGAGAAGAUGGUGCUGAAGGCCGUUUGUCGAAGGAGGCAGGUGACUUUCCUGGGACGGCCAAUGAAGAGGAAGGAAGACAAGAAGGACAGCAGGAGGGAGACAAGGAGGAUGAAGGAGAGGUCCCUGUUGUUGGCUUUGACUAUGGGAGUUUCCUUGUAUUUAAUGAAGAUCCCUACAGCAAAGCCUGUGCUUAAGGACAGGAAGAGAGCCAAAGACGUCAGGAUAAUCCCCAAAUAUUCUUUAUAUGAUAGGAAGGUGAUAAUCCUCGGAAUGCAGUGAUCUCGGUCCUUGUUUGGAUAUUGUUCUUCUGGACAUUUGGUGCAACGCUCUGCAU
rnacentral:lncRNA from 1 species